rnacentral:rRNA from 1 species
UACAGAGGGUGCAAGCGUUAAUCGGAAUUACUGGGCGUAAAGCGUGCGUAGUCGGUUAUUUAAGUCGGAUGUGAAAUCCCCGGGCUCAACCUGGGAAUUGCAUUCGAUACUGGAUAGCUAGAGUUCGGCAGAGGGAAGCGGAAUUUCUGGUGUAGCGGUGAAAUGCGUAGAUAUCAGAAGGAACAUCAGUGGCGAAAGCGGCUAUCUGGCCAUGACCUGACGCUGAGGCACGAAAGCGUGGGGAGCGAACCGG